GGGCUCCUGUUCAGCUCUGCAGGAGCUACUUUGGCCCUGUGACAGAUGUUCAGUACAGCGGCUGAGAGCCAUGUUAUGUGAGAUAAAGUUUGUGCUAUUGACAGCCAUGUGAAUUUUAAGAGGAGACUGCUUUCUGGAUGUUAUUUGAACUAGCAGCUGUCCAAAACUCUCAGCUUACCUCUUAUCAAGAAAGAGCAAGUCAGGGGAAAGCAUGGAUAUGCGGCACUAGAACAUCCUGAAGGCUUAGAAAUUGAAGGUAAUUCAAGGGGAAAAAAGAGCAUCCAAGUGUUCAUUUCCACAUGUGCACCUCAAGAACUGGAAAAAAGACUCUCAGAUUGAAC